rnacentral:rRNA from 1 species
UUAUUGGGCGUAAAGAGUUCGUAGGCGGUYUAKUAAGUCGGGUGUGAAAAUUYUGGGCUCAACCYAGAGACUCCACCCGAUACUGCUUAACUUGAGUUCGAUAGGGGAGUGUGGAAUUCCUAGUGUAGCGGUGAAAUGCGCAGAUAUUAGGAGGAACACCGGUGGCGAAGGCGCCNCUCUGGAUCGACACUGACGCUGAGGAACGAAAGCRUGGGUAGCAAACAGGAUUAGAUACCCUGGUAGUCCAUGCCGUAAACGGUGGGCACUAGGUGUGGGUUUCUAUUAACGAAAUCCGCGCCGWCGCUAACGCAUUAAGUGCCCCGCCUGGGGAGU